AUUCGAAUAAUAAUAACAAGCAUGCAAAACAUUCUAAAAAGAAGAAAUCGCAUCUUACAAAGAAGCACGCCCGUAAAACAAACGAUAAAUCGCGCUCAAAGAAGAUAGAAAAAGUGGAUAUUGCUGUAUGCCUGCAAAAGCUAAAUGAAAAAGUUGAAAAACUAACAAACAAAUUAGAAGAAUCGGAACAAUCACGUACAAAAUUUGAAGCAUCAAUAUUGAAAUCCCUCAGCACGAUAGAGAGCAACU